CAGCCGCGGUAAUACGUAGGGGGCCAGCGUUGCUCGGAAUUACUGGGUGUAAAGGGUUCGUAGGCGGUGUGGCAAGUUGGGAGUGAAAUCUCUGGGCUCAACUCAGAGGCUGCUUCCAAAACUGCUAUGCUUGAGUGUGGGAGAGGCGCGUGGAAUUGCAGGUGUAGCGGUGAAAUGCGUAGAUAUCUGCAGGAACACCCGUGGCGAAAGCGGCGCGCUGGACCACUACUGACGCUGAGGAACGAAAGCUAGGGGAGCAAACAGGAUUAGAUACCCUGGUAGUCCUAGCCCUAAACGAUCAGGACUUGGAGUGCCACCCGUUCGGGUGUCGUCCCGGAGCUAACGCGAUAA
rnacentral:rRNA from 1 species